UGGACAACAAAAUGUAAAUAUAGUCAAGAGGUAUACAUAUAUUACAGACCAAUGCAACAAGCCAAAAAGCAUGGCGUAAUAAAUCAGACCCUGCUGUUUUGAGUAAUUCAUAUGUUAACGUUAAAAUAUUACGAUGCAAUCUUCUGUUUUUAGCGGCAAUUUUUAUUGCUUUAUUCAAUAUCUCUGUACAUAUUGUAUUUCGUUUAUCUGUUUCAGAUACAAGAUGAGAUUUCAUUCAACUGACAAAUUCUGCGAAAGAAUGUUUGACACCUAUUUUUUUAUAUUUGGUAUUCAAAGCUUAAAUCAAAUCUGUGCUAGACGAUCAUCCAUUAGAGCAGAGGUCCUCAACUUAGUGUACAAGUUCCCUGGGGGUAUCCGGGAAAGUUUUUGAG
rnacentral:misc_RNA from 1 species